UGGGGAAUUUUGGACAAUGGGCGAAAGCCUGAUCCAGCCAUGCCGCGUGAGUGAAGAAGGCCUUCGGGUUGUAAACUGCUUUUGUACGGAACGAAAAGCCUGGGGCUAAUACCCCCGGGUCAUGACGGUACCGUAAGAAUAAGCACCGGCUAACUACGUGCCAGCAGCCGCGGUAAUACGUAGGGUGCAAGCGUUAAUCGGAAUUACUGGGCGUAAAGCGUGCGCAGGCGGUUUUGUAAGACAGUGGUGAAAUCCCCGGGCUCAACCUGGGAACUGCGCUUGUGACUGCACGGCUAGAGUAUGGCAGAGGGGGGUGGAAUUCCACGUGUAGCAGUGAAAUGCGUAGAGAUGUGGAGGAACACCGAUGGCGAAGGCAGCCCCCUGGGCCAAUACUGACGCUCAUGCACGAAAGCGUGGGGAGCAAACA
rnacentral:rRNA from 1 species